rnacentral:rRNA from 1 species
AGAUUGAACGCUGGCGGCAGGCCUAACACAUGCAAGUCGAGCGGCAGCACGGGUACUUGUACCUGGUGGCGAGCGGCGGACGGGUGAGUAAUGCCUAGGAAUCUGCCUGAUAGUGGGGGAUAACGUUCGGAAACGGACGCUAAUACCGCAUACGUCCUACGGGAGAAAGUGGGGGAUCUUCGGACCUCACGCUAUCAGAUGAGCCUAGGUCGGAUUAGCUUAGGUUGGGU